GGAGCCUCCCGCCCGCUGCUGCCGCGGCCCUGGCGGGCCGGAGGCACCGAAGCGACGCCCUGACCAUCCCCAGGGAGAGUUCUCCGGCCGCGCUGGCUCGAUCAGUGAUCUCAUGGAGAAACCCCUGAACGUGCAAAACCUCCACGUGCUCGGAGACUGGCAGAGCUGAGCACAGCCACGGGUGAAAACGGCACCCCAGGAGAAAAGCAUUGAAGGAUUCGACAGAAAAAGGAAGAGGUACCGGCAGCCCCUGACAUCGACGCACCUCUGUGCUUGUAAGAAAUCCUGAUUUUGUUCCUCAAAACUCAGCGCCUAAACUUUGCCUUGGAGCUGCUCAUCUUCAUCACACAGUACAGGAACAGAAAAAAACGCUCUGAAACAGAUACUAAAGAACCUUCUUGCAACAUUCUGGUGUGAAGCUUCUGUGAUGUCCAGGAAUCCUGAUCUAUGAAGAAAACCCAGUUUUGUCCAUGUACCAGAGGUGAAACAAUAACAGUUCUGCUGAAAGAGUUAAAAAAAAUACCCUUGCUGCUCUCAAUAUCCGUAUUAUAGACAUUGAAAGCAUUAUUAUGAAUAACACUGAACUUGGUUUCUGUUUUGCUCUUGUCCUACUUUGGGUUCUGUGGAAUGGUGUUCAAUAAAAGUUUGACUUCAUGUACAGCCAGAACCCCUUCUCACCAACAGGAAAGCCUAAUAAGCUUCAGAAUAUAUAUGGUUGUUCAACUACAUUAAAAAUAAAGUCAAAGCCCUCAGUUUUUAUAACUCUGUAGCAUUUAUAAAAAAGCAUUUUAAAAUUGUACCUUGUGGGCAUUAUUCAUAGCAUUCAUAUUGUAAAAUAAGACCAGAAAAUUUAAGCAUUAUCUCCGGAAUAAAUUCAGUUUUGUGAAUUCUGUGGUUUGUGUUUUAUUGAAAUGCAUUUCAACUUUUAGAAGUUCACUGAAGCAAAAGCCUCCUUUUCAUUACUGCUGUUCCUGUUUGGAGUAUGUUAACAGUUCAAAAGUUUUUCUUAACUAGUUUCUGAUUUUUAAUUAUCCACUACAUUUAUAAAGCAUAUCUUUGCGUUUUCUUUAAGUAUAAGGGGACUAAACUAAAGGCUUACACUAAAGAAGUGAUGUUCCUUCCAUGUCACUAAAGUUCUUAGCAUCAGGAAGGAGGCACUGAUAAGAAGUUAAGUAUGUGCACAAAAACAUACAGAGCAGGAGCCUUGGUUUCUAGACCCCAAGGACAUCAUAGUAUUAAAUUUGAAAAAUCAAGUACUUUUAAUUCUGUAGGAUUUUUAGA